CCCUACGGGGGGCAGCAGUGGGGGAUAUUGCACAAUGGGGGGAACCCUGGUGCAGCGACGCCGCGUGGGUGAAGAAGCGCCUCGGCGCGUAAAGCCCUGUCAGCAGGGAAGAAAAUGACGGUACCUGAAGAAGAAGCCCCGGCUAACUACGUGCCAGCAGCCGCGGUAAUACGUAGGGGGCAAGCGUUAUCCGGAUUUACUGGGUGUAAAGGGGGCGCAGACGGCGAUGCAAGCCAGGAGUGAAAGCCCGGGGCCCAACCCCGGGACUGCUCUUGGAACUGCGUGGCUGGAGUGCAGGAGGGGCG
rnacentral:rRNA from 1 species